AACAUGUGAAAUGUCCGUAAAGUAUCAUCAUAUGAUUGGAUUUAGGGCACAUUUCCAACAGUAGGACUCCAAUCAUUCUUCUCCCUCCCGCUCACACUACCUCACCCUUUCCUUCUCUCUCUCAGACUACCUCUCAUUCUCAUUCAGACCACCACCCAAAGCAGUGACGGUGAACUCCGAACAACAACAACGAUGGCCAUCAACCUAGGCACCUAUCCAGAGGAUCCAUUCUCUACUAUAUUUGAUGGUUUGUUUUUAGUUUUGUAUAAUUUGAAUUUGCGUUUGAAAUUUUGAAUGGUUGUUUUUCUUGACAAAGUUUGUGGCUUUGGGUUUGAAAAUUGCAAUAUUUGUAUUAAGUGGGCUCUGUUUCGUCCCAUAUGGAAAUGCAACAUAAUAAAAGCAAAUGAAUAAUGGAGAGCAUAUUUGAGAUGCAACAAAAUAAAAGCAAAUGAAUAAUGGAGAGCAUAUUUCAUGUCUCUGGUAUUAGUGUUAUGUUGCAGGUCAUGGAGGACAAAGAACCUACAAGAUUAGAUAGUGAGUCAUUACCUACUUGUCAAUCUCAAAGCCAUGAUGGUUCUUUGGGACCUCCUCAUCUGAAUCAAAGCAAAGAAAUAAUGGGAGAUCUAGAACUUGGAAUGGAGUUUAGUUCUAAAGAGAGCGCAUACAAUUAUUACUGCAACUAUGCUAGAGAUAAGGGUUUUGACGUGAGGAAGCAUCAACAACAACAACAACAACAACAAAGCCUUUUCCCACUAAGUGGGGUCGGCUAUAUGAAUCCUAG
rnacentral:lncRNA from 1 species